rnacentral:rRNA from 1 species
UACGGUAGGGGGCAAGCGUUAUCCGGAAUCACUGGGUUUAAAGGGUGCGUAGGCGGUCUGAUAAGUCAGUUGUGAAAUUCCUCGGCUUAACCGAGUGGACUGCGAUUGAUACUGUGAGACUUGAAUCAGGUUGAGGUAGGCGGAAUGUGACAUGUAGCGGUGAAAUGCUUAGAUAUGUCAUAGAACACCGAUUGCGAAGGCAGCUUGCUAGACCUGGAUUGACGCUGAGGCACGAAAGCGUGGGGAGCAAACAGG